ACAACGCUGACGCCGAGUCGCCAAAGGACACUUCACUUGGACGCUUGCCUGGGCACGUAGCCGCUGGUCGUUCCGGAAGUCUGAGCCAUCUCCGGACGCUGAUCCAAGUUUUGCAGUCUCAAUGCGGAAAGUGUCUGCACGCGUGUUUGCUGGUGGCAUCAAACCACAGAAAGCCUCGCGCCUGCGAUGGCCUCAGGAUCUACGGUUGGUCAGCUCUUCGGAAAGCUUUUUGUGUGUCCGUCUUUAGUUCACGCUUGUCUUCGCUGCCUGGUUCACCGAGGAACGUUCUCUUGUUGCGUAUGCGUUGAACUGGAGUCUUGGAUGGGCUUGGUACAGCAUGGAUUCCUGCACGCGUUCAAUGCUCUAGUCGGAUGAGCAGGUGCGCAGCUUUUUCGCGCUACAGCUCGUAUGGCGCCUUGGGCCUCCACCAUCAAACGGAGCAAAUCGUUGGUCAUUGCCUUGUCAAACUCAUUGAACUAUUCCGCGAAUGCAUGCUUCGUGCCGCCUCACAAGGGGAAGCGCUGCCGACCCCAGCGGGGUCUCUGGUAUCCCUGCCAAGGAGCGUCCGCGUGAGCCGUUUGGACGCUCAGGUACGCAGUGCAUGAAGCGUCCAAAGCGUCCUCCUCCACGUCAGCUGAGUACGGUACUCGGAGUGGCGAGGCGCCCGUCGCGACACCGUCGUUGCGCUCGUGCGUUUACCUCCUGGCGUCUAUGAUGUCUGACGCUCGUCAACAUCGAGCAGCAGAAGACUUGAACAGCUUCAUCUGCAUGCAUAUUAGGUAUAGGGCUCCGUCCUGUUGAUAUACAUGCACGAUGACGGCAGUGAUGUGCUUCAAGCUGGAUUCACGCUCACAACAAAGUCUGUUUCUUCUCCUACCUUGAAUGGUUGGGAAUUCGUCUCGUUACGCAGCUUGGAUCCGGGUUCCACAAAGUACAUGCAGAUUGGUAUGGCGUCGGUCUGCAUCGCUCCGGUGAACUUUUUUUCAGCUGCUCCCUGUCAUGGAGACAACGUAGGAUGAGCUCGCCCGAUGCUCUUCGCGAAUCGGUUCGAGGGUUUCACAGCUGGUCGCCCCAGACCAGGUUCUUCUGCAAUGCGUAACGUACGAGGCCGAGUUGCAUCCAUGUGACCGCCAUAUUCUACAUCCGUUUUUUGACGUCGGGAUUCAGACGCACUGGGUGGACGGUCAGACUACAGCUCGCCAUUUCGAUGUAUCCGUCAAUAGUUCCUGGGGUGCCUGUUUGUCGCCAUGUCCGUCGCGAGGACGCCGACGGCGUGAAGCGUGCCUCACCGCUCCCUCCUGCGCAUGAGCCGAGAAGCAACGCAGCAGUUCAGAUCUGGAAAAGGUAGCAGAGAGCGUCUUGUCGAAGAACAUCGCUAGUACGGAUGCAAACGACGUGUCUGUUGAUCCGAGAGUGUAGAAACCGCGAUUUUCCGCAGAGAACACGCUUCGGCCUGGAUUAAAUCGGAGACAAUGGACAGCCGUGGAGAGCUGCUUACGCCUCGACGGAUGUCCACUGAUGGAAAGCGCCGUUACCUAGCACCAGGACAUGAACCUGUGCAGGACAAGCCAUAGAGUGCUUCGACGAUGCAUGGGGUGCUGAACAAUCCUGUCCGUCUGGUGCAUUGUGGGUGGACAUUUUAUUCAAUUGCCACCAGGGUUGACGUGGUCGUCAUUCGCGAAUGACGCUUUUUUACAUACAUCGGUUUGCCCGUCUUUGAGCCCAAUGUAAAAACGCCCACCAUUUCUCCUGAAUCAAAUCUCAUCGAGGGAGGCGAUCACCCGUCGGGCCG